GGUGCUAGUUCAAUCAGCAUGACCUAAUCUAAUUCAGUGACUUGGUGAAGUCAGUGGGAGGAUUAUGGUCUACUAAUUGAUCUUUUCUUCUCUUCUCUCUUCUCUAAAUCGAUUAAAUCCUCUAAAUUAUUAGGUCCUUAAAAUGAGCUGGUUAUGGUGAUAACUAGAUCAUAGCCUCCCAUUAAGGUGAGUGAUAAUGGGUCUAUUAUUUCUGAUUGACAUUGCAGGCACCAUCC
rnacentral:lncRNA from 1 species